AGAAUUGAUCUUGGUCAGGACGAACGCUGGCGGCGUGCCUAAUACAUGCAAGUCGAACGGUCUUUCUAUGGAAGCUUGCUUCCACUGAGAAGAUAGUGGCGAACGGGUGAGUAACACGUGGGUAACCUGCCCAUAAGAGGGGGAUAACAUCCGGAAACGGGUGCUAAUACCGCAUAGUUUUCUUGAUCGCAUGAUUGAGAAAGGAAAGACGGCCUUUGUGCUGUCGCUUAUGGAUGGACCCGCGGCGUAUUAGUUAGUUGGUGAGGUAACGGCUCACCAAGACGAUGAUACGUAGCCGACCUGAGAGGGUGAUCGGCCACAUUGGGACUGAGACACGGCCCAAACUCCUACGGGAGGCAGCAGUAGGGAAUCUUCCGCAAUGGACGAAAGUCUGACGGAGCAACGCCGCGUGAGUGAAGACGGCCUUCGGGUUGUAAAGCUCUGUCUUCAGGGACGAUAAUGACGGUACCUGAGGAGGAAGCCACGGCUAACUACGUGCCAGCCGCCGC
rnacentral:rRNA from 1 species